rnacentral:rRNA from 1 species
UACGGAGGGAGCUAGCGUUGUUCGGAAUUACUGGGCGUAAAGCGCACGUAGGCGGCUAUUCAAGUCAGAGGUGAAAGCCCGGGGCUCAACCCCGGAACUGCCUUUGAAACUAGAUGGCUCGAAUCUUGGAGAGGCGAGUGGAAUUCCGAGUGUAGAGGUGAAAUUCGUAGAUAUUCGGAAGAACACCAGUGGCGAAGGCGACUCGCUGGACAAGUAUUGACGCUGAGGUGCGAAAGCGUGGGGAGCAAACAGG